rnacentral:rRNA from 1 species
GCCAGCAGCCACAUCACCCUGCAACUCACAGCUGGUAACCCACUGAAGCUAAACAUGUGUGAGCCUGGUCAGUAUCUGGAUGGGAGACCUCUUGGGAAAAACUCAGGUUGCUGCUGGAA